AUUCCAGCUCCAAUAGCGUAUAUUAAAGUUGUUGCAGUUAAAAAGCUCGUAGUUGGAUUUCUGGAUCUUGACGGCGGUUCACCUUGUGUGAUACUUGCUGUUGGGGUCCAUCCUCCCGAAGACGCGUCGUGUCCUUCAUUGGAUGCGGCGUGGACUCGGGACUUUUACUUUGAAAAAAUUAGAGUGUUCAAAGCAGGCUUACGCUUGAAUACUUCAGCAUGGAAUAAUGGGAUAGGACCUCGGUCUUAUUUUGUUGGUUUCUAAGACCGAAGUAAUGAUUAAAAGGGACAGUUGGGGGCAUUAGUAUUUCAUUGUCAGAGGUGAAAUUCUUAGAUUUAUGAAAGACUAACUACUGCGAAAGCAUUUGCCAAGGAUGUUUUCAUCG
rnacentral:rRNA from 1 species